rnacentral:lncRNA from 1 species
ACUAUUGCUACUAGUAAAGAAGUGAUGGCAAGCACUCAAGAUAUGUCAGAUAACAGUGAUUCUCAAAAUGAGCUUCAUCUUGAUGAUGUUACUGUAGAUGGAGAGUCUAGUGGUUUAAGAAACCAUCAUCGACCAAGAGAUCCAAUCUCUACUGAGAGUGUCCAUUGUGUGAGGAGUCAAUCAAAAGUUUUAGAGUUAGCAGAUG